rnacentral:rRNA from 1 species
GCGUGAGUGAAGAAGGUUUUGGGAUCGUAAAACUUUUUUGGUAGAGAAGAACGUUGGUAAAAGUGGAAAGCUGAUCAUGUGUCGGUAUCUCCCCAGAAAGGGGGGGCUAAAUACGCGCCCGCAGCCGCGGUAAUACGUAGGUCCCGAGCGUUGUCCGGAUUUAUUGGGCGUAAAGCGAGCGCAGGGGGUUUAUUAAGUCUGGUGUAAAAGGCAGUGGCUCACCCAUUGUAUGCAUUGGAAACUGGUAGACUUGAGUGCAGGAGAGGAGAGUGGAAUUCCAUGUGUAGCGGUGAAAUGCGUAAAUAUAUGGAGGAACACCGGUGGCGAAAGCGGCUCUCUGGCCUGUAACUGACACUGAGGCUCGAAAGCGUGGGGAGCAAACAGGAUUAGAUACCCUGGUAGUCCACGCCGUAAACGAUGAGUGCUAGAUGUAGGGAG